rnacentral:rRNA from 1 species
GACGAACGCUGGCGGCGUGCUUAACACAUGCAAGUCGAACGGAAAGGCCCUGCUUUUGUGGGGUGCUCGAGUGGCGAACGGGUGAGUAACACGUGAGUAACCUGCCCUGGGCUUUGGGAUAACUUCAGGAAACUGGGGCUAAUACCGGAUAGGAGCUCCUGCUGCUGGGUGGGGGUUGGAAAGUUUCGGCGGUUGGGGAUGGACUCGCGGCUUAUCAGCUUGUUGGUGGGGUAGUGGCUUACCAAGGCUUUGACGGGUAGCCGGCCUGAGAGGGUGACCGGCCACAUUGGGACUGAGAUACGGACCAGACUCCUACGGGAGGCAGCAGUGGGGAAUAUUGCACAAUGGGCGGAAGCCUGAUGCAGCAACGCCGCGUGCGGGAUGACGGCCUUCGGGUUGUAAACCGCUUUCGCCUGUGACGAAGCGUGAGUGACGGUAAUGGGUAAAGAAGCACCGGCUAACUACGUG